rnacentral:rRNA from 1 species
AUGGCGACGGCCACCGCCUCCACGUCCCUCCGCCCGCCGCCGUCCCCGUCCCCGCCUCGGCUUGCGGGGUCGCUGCGCCAGUGGUGCUGGGGAACCCCUACGCAUUCCUCUCGGAGAGCAUUCCACGCGCAUCGGCGGAAGAGGAACACUUUGUUAUGCGCAGCCGUUAAAGGCCCAGAAGAAUCCUUCAAGAAGACCAUUGAAGUGGAUAGGCUGAUUGAUAUGCUGAGAGAUGCAAAUCCCGGAGAGCUUGAUCUAAUAGUGGUUGAAAAUAUUCUAGCGUUCAGUGAGGGUUUCUGGGUUCGGCUGGCUGCUCGGAUUGAUCUAUGCAAAUCGGAUGAUGAUAAAAAAGAUUAUGAAGAACUGGCAGAGAAUGUCAUGAACAUAGUUGACCGUGUCGUCCACAAGACUGAUGAGAAGAUUGAACAAUCGACUGAUGUUCUGAAGGCAAUUAUUAGUCCUGUUAUGAAUGAAGGAGAAGAUGCGAUGUGGCCACCAAGAAAUCCGGAGGCUCUCAAAUUGAUGGAAAAAGAAAUAUCAAACAGAGAAAAAGAAGGACAGCUAGAUGAGAGUUUUCUGUCAGAAGUUAAUGCUCAGCUGAGGCAAGCUAAAGAAGAUGUAGAUAAGCCAGGGCUUCAAGCAAUGCUGCAAAAGGUGUUGCAACUAUAUGCUUCCAACUUUCUCCGAAAACGCAGUUACGCUUAUAAAGGGGGAGAGGUUGUAGUGCCUGAAAAGUUUCUUGAAUCGAUAAUAGAGGCUCCCGAAAAUGACUGGAAUAGGCUGUUGCUUGAUGGACUUACAGUUGGAAAGGGAGAUGUUUCACCUGAAGAAUUUUACGCUGUUACCAAGAAGAGAAUUGAGAGAAUCUUGAUUCGCACGGAAGGUGGUUCUUAUCAGCAACGGGUACUUGUCGAAUAUAUAAAAGAGAUACAAGCUAGAGCAGAGGAAAUAGUGAACCGGCUUCAAGGCCCAGCUGUGUAA